GGCAUUAGCUCCCUCAGCUUUAGUUCCCAAGAAGACCCAUGCAGAGCAGGGGGAUUCACUGCACUCACAGGGGCAAGAUAACAAGGCUCCAUGAAGAAGGAGACAUCAAAAAUCACAAGAACUGCCAGUCCUGUGACAACCACAGUAUCUUCUCUGAGAACUAAGGAAGAACAUUUUGCCUUUGCCUGAAUGACAGUUCCUAAACCACUAGAUACAGCCUUAAACAGCAGAGAGUGAUUCCAUAUAUCAAGAAUGAUGUGAAUCCCCUGAAGGAUUCUAUGCUUGGACUUUGCAGGUCACUGGUGAUGGAAAGGAUAAACAGAAGUGACAUUAGACACCCACACAUUUCUACCAAGUUACUAUCCAAUAUAUUAUCAGAAGAUUCAGAUUCUAAACUAGUAAUUUGAUGUUAUUAAAAUCCUAGCUCACAAAAGCAAAGUGAAUUUUAGAAGCUUAAUAGUAUAUUGCUACUGCCAUUUUUAACUUCAUAGUAAUAGCAGCCUCUCAUGUGAUACAUGAACAUUAGCUGGCAUUAAUGGCCUUUGAAAUGUCCUUGCUGAUACUGCUAACAGUCUUGUAGACUAUUGUUCCCUAAUAGCUUAGAUUACCAUAGAAGCCAAAGGCCCCAAUUAAGAUCAAGAGCCCUUUUGUUCUAGACACUGAGCAAACAUAUCCUGUUCUGAAGAAUGUAAAAGCUGAAAAAUUAGAGAUGCUCAAUGAGGGUUGAAACAGGAAAGGUAUAAUGCAAUGUUUACAAAUCGUUACUGGUAUGUUAAAAGGUUGCAAAAUAAUAACCGCUCCUUUAGCUGCCAUCAUUCAUUAAAGCAGAAACAUUUGAAAACCAAACUUUUUUCUUGUCCUAUGUAAUACUGGUUCAUUUGGUUUUCUUCAAUUUGAUUGAAAAAUAUAAGCAGUUUAAUCUCAUUUUUGCUUUGGCAUAAUGCUGUCUAAAGCAUGACAGCAGAAAAAUUAAGAUAUUUUGAUAAAAAUAAAAAUAAAAAGUCCUCUGGGAAGAUGUUUAUAGACAUAAAAGUGCAAUGAACCUGUACUGACUACUCUGUGACAAUGGUGAAAGGUAAGACAUGUUUUGCUGAAAAAAAAUACUUUGCUGAAUCAGGAUCUAAACUGUAUUAUGCUAAUAAAUUAACUAAUUAAUCCACAAAUGCCAGAUAGUUCCAUAUACUUUUUUCUUUCCAUUAGUGCAAACUUAAUGUGACCCCAGAUUGUCCAAAUCAUGAUACCAGACAGUUUUCUUGUGGGAUGAUGUGACAAAUCUGAUCAAUCAACUACUCCAGGACUGAAUAGUUUAGGUUGUUUUAUUUGUAGAGCUAUUUUUUACUUUGGUCAGCUCACCUGUAUUACGUAAAAUAAGUGUUAUGAUGAAUUACAUUCUUCAACAGAUCUAUGAAUCUGUAUAUCUGUAAAAUAUACUGAUAGCAGUACAUAAACACUUCCUCAGUAAUCACUCCUAAUGGCUGCAAGACUAAGAAUUUACUUCCAUAAUAGACUUCCAGUUUCUAUAUUAUCACUUUCACUUUUUUAGGUACUCAAAAGGUGAAAUACAGCUUUUAAUAAUGUUUAACGAAUAAGCAAUUCCUCUACGGAGGCUAGUGUAAUUUCUAAACUAUCUUUAUUCACUGGAAUAAGCCGGAAAUUUCCAUUGUCUUCUUGAUUACCAAACC